CCUACGGGAGGCAGCAGUGGGGAAUAUUGCACAAUGGGGGAAACCCUGAUGCAGCGACGCCGCGUGAGUGAAGAAGUAAUUCGUUAUGUAAAGCUCUAUCAGCAGGGAAGAAAAUGACGGUACCUGAGUAAGAUGCCACGGCGAACUACGUGCCAGAAGACGCGGUAAUACGUCGGGGGCAAGCGUUAUCCGGAUAUACUGGGUGUAACGGGAGCGUAGACGGCUGUGCAAGGCUGGGGGGAAAGGGGCGGGCGCAACCCCCGGACUGCUCUUGAAACUGGACGGCUGGAGUGCAGGCGAGGUAAGUGGGAUUCCUAGUGUAGCGGUGAAAUGCGU
rnacentral:rRNA from 1 species